AGGCCCAACCCAACGGUUGGGGCCUUUUUCCCUCUGGAUCGCGCCCUGAUCGGGGGCGCCCAACCGAUCCAUGGUUGGUGGGCCCCCGACGCGCUGCGCUAUAUAAACAGGAGUGGGGGCCGCAGGCACGAAACCGCUAAGUUCGCCGUGCACACAUCCCCACUCGACAAACCCUAGGCCAUCCGAUCGGCUUGCGCAGUGGCGUCGGGAAGCACCACUGCGCCUCUCUCCUACCCCGCCGUCGUCGGUCAGUGCCGGUGGAGGCCCGAAGGACGACGGGAUCUACUCCGCCACCGCGUCCACGCCCUCAACAUGGACCCCGCUGGAUCUGCACCCGCCGCCAACGACGGUCGAAACUCUAUACUCUAAAUCUACAUGUUCUACUUCCUUGUAAUAGGUCUAGUCUGCAUAUGUAUAUCACUGUCCUUAUUACUUUGUACCCCGAAUCUCUGUUCAAGCUACUAGUAGUAGAUCCUGUUAUUAGAUCUAUCAAUAGAACGUGAACCGGCCGUUGAAUCUAGGUAGGACACCCCCGUUUGAGAAUUUGAUCUUGUGCUGCACAUAUCUCCAGUAGCAGUACCUACGCGUCCCGUCGAGAACAGAGAAUUCAGAAGUCGGAAACACCCUUUACAGUUCACUUUGAUGCACACCGAAACGUUAGCUUCGAAUCGGUCGCGACGUGUGGAUCGAUCGCUAGUACUCCCCUCCGUCCCUUAAAUUGAGUUAGGGGUAUAUAUCUCAUCAACCACACAAUUAACGACCUACAGUUGGAAGGUGGUCCAAGUGACGACCUUGCGUUGCCAACUGAUCGAGAAACCGCAUCAAAGACCAGAGCAGGCCACUUUUAUGGCCUAUGGGCUCUAGCUACGGUUAGCUAGCCGGUGAGACCACACCUCAGGCUUUGUUUAGCUCACUCCAAAAUCAAAAAAAAAAAAAUCAAAAUUUUCCAUCAUAUCAAAUCUUGUGUCAUUAAUAUAGAGCAUUAAAUAUAGAUUAAAAUAAUUAAUUAUACAAUUUACCUAUAAUUUAUAAGACAAGUAUUUUGAGCCUAAUUAACUUAUAAUUAAAGAAUAAUUACCAAAUACAAACAAAAAUAUUACCGUGUCAAAAUCUAAAAAGUUUUUAAAUAUAAACAAAGCCUCACAUCAACAAUGCAACCUUACGUUGCGUACGUACUAGAGAUACCCGGUGCGCGUUGAAUGUGAUCAUCAAUAUCGCACAUGUGCCCCACACGACCUAAUCGAAUCGCUAGCUCCCUGGCUCGCUGCCACCGGCGGGCGGCGCGGCGGCCGCGCGCUGUCACCGAUGACGUUCGGGCCCGGCGCGCUUUCGCCAUACGUGCCACUACGAGUCUACUCCUGUGUCGUUAAAUAAGCACACUUCAUUUGUUUGAAAUUUAUCUAAAAACAAGUGUAAUACUUCUACGUAUAAUUCAUCUAAUCCUGGUGGUAUUUUCUAUUUUAAUUCCAAAGUAAAAUCAUUACACGUCGAAUUAGCUUUUGCACUAUGCCAUAUCUGAUAAUCAUUAUCGAGUCAAAAACCCUAUUAAUGUCGUGCCGGG
rnacentral:lncRNA from 1 species